UACAGAGGUGGCAAGCGUUGUUCGGAAUUACUGGGCGUAAAGGGCGAGUAGGUGGCCAUCUAAGUCAGACGUGAAAUCCCCCGGCUUAACCUGGGAACUGCGUCUGAUACUGGACGGCUUGAGUAUGGGAGAGGAACGUAGAAUUCCAGGUGUAGCGGUGAAAUGCGUAGAUAUCUGGAGGGAUACCGGUGGCGAAAGCGACUCUCUGGACGGUAACUGACGCUGAGGCACGAAAGCGUGGGGAGCAAACAGG
rnacentral:rRNA from 1 species